rnacentral:rRNA from 1 species
CAGUAGGGAAUCUUCCACAAUGGGCGAAAGUCUGAUGGAGCAACGCCGCGUGAGUGAAGAAGGGUUUCGGCUCGUAAAACUCUGUUGUUAAAGAAGAACAUAUCUGAGAGUAACUGUUCAGGUAUUGACGGUAUUUAACCAGAAAGCCACGGCUAACUACGUGCCAG